UGAGGAAUAUUGGUCAAUGGCCGGAAGGCUGAACCAGCCAAGUCGCGUGAGGGAAUAAGGCCCUACGGGUCGUAAACCUCUUUUGUCGGGGAGCAAUGGGUGACUUGCGAGUCAUCAGGGAGAGUACCCGAGGAAAAAGCAUCGGCUAACUCCGUGCCAGCAGCCGCGGUAAUACGGAGGAUGCGAGCGUUAUCCGGAUUUAUUGGGUUUAAAGGGUGCGCAGGCGGUACGGAAAGUCAGCGGUAAAAGUUACGGAGCUCAACUCCGCCGAGCCGUUGAAGCUUCCGCACUAGAGUGAGCGAGAAGUAAGCGGAAUGCGUGGUGUAGCGGUGAAAUGCAUAGAUAUCACGCAGAACGCCGAUUGCGAAGGCAGCUUACCGGCGCUCAACUGACGCUCAGGCACGAAAGUGCGGGAUAUCGAACAGGAUUAGAUACC
rnacentral:rRNA from 1 species